rnacentral:tRNA from 1 species
GAGGUGAUGCAGUGAGUCAGUGUGUCUGGCUGUUAACCAGAAGGUUGGUGGUUCAAGCCCACCCAGGAACA